rnacentral:tRNA from 1 species
GCAGAGCUGGUAUAGCACCUGAUUUGUAAUCAGUAGGUUGGGGGUUCA